UACGUAUGGGGCAAGCGUUAUCCGGAUUCAUUGGGCGUAAAGGGCGCGUAGGCGGCUUUUUAAGUCUGGAGUGAAAGUCCCGCUUUCAAGGUGGGAAUUGCUUUGGAAACUGGAGAGCUUGAGUGCAGAAGAGGUAAGUGGAAUUCCCAGUGUAGCGGUGAAAUGCGUAGAGAUUGGGAGGAACACCAGUGGCGAAGGCGACUUACUGGGCUGUAACUGACGCUGAGGCGCGAAAGCGUGGGUAGCAAACAGG
rnacentral:rRNA from 1 species